GUGUUCGUGUCGACAUGUGGCGGUGUCUUACUCAGUGGCAUUCAUUAUUGUUGUGGCAUGUUCUUGUGUGCCAUUGCGAGAAUGUCAGAGCUUGCAUUAGAGCAACUGACAAACCCCAGCUCACACGGCACUCUCUUUGAGGGAGCUUUUAGCCAGUAAACAAAUACUUGUAUUGGAACACUCUCCCUACUCACCUUCUCUGGCCCCCAAUGAGUUUUUUCUUUACCUGAAGAUAAAGGAAAUACUGAAAGGAAGACAUUUUGAUGACAUUUAGGACAUCAAGCGUAAUACGAUGACAGCUGUGAUGACCAUUCCAGAAAAAGAGUCCCAAAAUUGCUUUGAAGGCUGGACUGGGCACUGGCAUCAGUGCAUAGCUUCCCACAGGGAGUACUUUGAAGGUAGUGAUAUUCAGCAAUGAGUAUCGGAAAUUGGUCAAGUGAGGACAACUGACUGCACCCCUUCCAGCCCCAGGACCGUAAAAGCUCAGCGGCUCAGAAUGAGGCAUCGCAUGUUGACAAGAGAGAAGAAGGGUCGGAUUUCCUUAAAGCCUUAAUAAGAAGUCUUACUAGAAGUCAUGAUAGGCUGCAAUAAACUGUUACAACACCAGAGGGCAA